GCAAAUUACCCAAUCCAGACACUGGGAGGUGGUGACGAGAAAUACCAGGUCGUUCCCAAAAGGAUUCGACACUGGAAUGAGUUUAAUUUAAAAAUUUAAACGAGAAACAACUGGAGGGCAAGUCUGGUGCCAGCAGCCGCGGUAAUUCCAGCUCCAGUAGUGUAUCCAAAAGUUGCUGCGGUUAAAACGCUCGUAGUUGGACAAGAGAGUAGCUUGGUGCGGGCGGGGAGUGUGAUUGCACUGCGUGUUCGCACUUGCUGUCGAUGCUGUUUGUUUCACUCUGUGAGCAGGUAGUGUCGGCUCAAGCUGUGGGGCGUAGUUGUGCGCUUGUCGACCAUGCUGCCAGGCUCCUCGAAAUGUUUCGUGAGAAUGGUACAUGGUCUUGAUUGUACUGUGUACCCUGCCUCACGUAGUGUGCCUUGAAUAAAUCAGAGUGCUCAAUGCAAGCUUUCGCUUGAAUGUCUUAGCAUGGAACGAAUGUACAGUGGGAGCGAGUCUGGGGCGCCCUCGGGCUGCCACUUACUCGUAGCACCAACCGCGAAGCGGAACAUUGGUUGCCGACUUCGGGUGAGGAUUAAGAGGGGCACUUGGGGGCAUUAGUAUUUGGCCGCGAGAGGUGAAAUUCUUGGACCGGCCAAGGACUGACAAGUGCGAAAGCAUUUGCCAAGGGUGUUCCCUUUAAUCAAGAACGAAAGUGAGAGGUUCGAAGACGAUCAGAUACCGUCCUAGUUCUCACCGUAAACGAUGCCAACCCGGGAUGAGUCCGGAUGAUACAUUUGGAUCCAGGUUGGUCCCCCUGGGAAACCUUGAGUUUUUAGGUUCCGGGGGGAGUAUGGUUGCAAGGCUGAAACUUAAAGGAAUUGACGGAAGGGCACCACCAGGGGUGGAGCCUGCGGCUCAAUUUGACUCAACACGGGAAAACUCACCUGGUCCGGACAUCGAUAGGAUUGACAGACUAAUAGAUCUUUCAUGAUACGGUGGGUGGUGGUGCAUGGCCGUUCUUAGUUCGUGGAGCGAUCUGUCAGGUUGAUUCCGGUAACGGACGAGACCAUGUUCUCCAUUUGGGGAAGCGCAAGCCGGGAGCAAGGAGCGUCGUCGGAUGGGUGGUCGGCCUCGGUCGGACGGUUGUCUAGGCGCU
rnacentral:rRNA from 1 species